rnacentral:rRNA from 1 species
GACGAACGCUGGCGGCGUGCUUAACACAUGCAAGUUGAACGGAAAGGCCCUGCUUUUGUGGGGUGCUCGAGUGGCGAACGGGUGAGUAACACGUGAGUAACCUGCCCUUGACUUUGGGAUAACUUCAGGAAACUGGGGCUAAUACCGGAUAGGAGCUCCUGCUGCAUGGUGGGGGUUGGAAAGUUUCGGCGGUUGGGGAUGGACUCGCGGCUUAUCAGCUUGUUGGUGGGGUAGUGGCUUACCAAGGCUUUGACGGGUAGCCGGCCUGAGAGGGUGACCGGCCACAUUGGGACUGAGAUACGGCCCAGACUCCUACGGGAGGCAGCAGUGGGGAAUAUUGCACAAUGGGCGGAAGCCUGAUGCAGCAACGCCGCGUGCGGGAUGACGGCCUUCGAGUUGUAAACCGCUUUCGCCUGUGACGAAGCGUGAGUGACGGUAAUGGGUAAAGAAGCACCGGCUAACUACGUG